UACGUAGGCAGCAAGCGUUGUUCGGAGUUACUGGGCGUAAAGGGUGCGUAGGCGGUUGUUUAAGUUUGGUGUGAAAUCUCCCGGCUCAACUGGGAGGGUGCGCCGAAUACUGAAUGACUAGAGUGCGGGAGAGGAGAGUGGAAUUCCUGGUGUAGCGGUGAAAUGCGUAGAUAUCAGGAGGAACACCGGUGAUGUAGACGGCUCUCUGGACCGUAACUGACGCUGAGGCACGAAAGCGUGGGUAGCAAACAGG
rnacentral:rRNA from 1 species